UCACCGUAGUCCUCUGGCUCCCAUCCUGGUAGCACCGUAGCAGCAACGCAAGUCUCGUCUCCUCCUCAAUCGUCCUGCCUCGUUUACGAAACCCUAGCGUCAACUCACCGAUUUCUCAGUUCUGACAAGGCCGACCCAAUUUCCAAGGUUAGCUUUUGGAAUUUAUUUUUUUUAUGCUUCUUUCUACCCCUUGGGCUGUUGGGCAUUUCUUUUCUGUUGGGUUACUGAGAAAUCGCUGGAAAAUUGUGAACAAGUUAUUUUGCGCAGAUAUUUGAAGCUUUUUAUUUAAUUGUUUGGGUUUUUCUUAGAAGCUUCUUAAUUUUAGCUUAAUGGUUGAUUUUCAUGAUGGUUCAAGAUGUUUAUGACCAUGGAUCCUUUGAUAGUUGUGGUUAGGGUUUACAGAUUCUCCCUUUGUAAAACACAAUUUUGUUUACAUUGACCAAAAUUAACAUGCUUUGUGUGGAUUGUUUCUGCUUAUAUUCAUUGAACUUAAAGCAUCCUUGAACGUAAAAUCUGUAGCGCUAUGGUCUCUAUAAUUUGUAUCUUUAGCCCUCAAUCAUAGCAAAUAGAAAAGGAUAACAGCAUCAUAAUCAUCCCCAUAUAUUGUAUAGCAGCCGUCAAUCAGAAGUCUUUAUGGAUAUUUUACAUCUUCAUAGUUUGUAAUCCGGCUUGAUUUGUCCAUACUGUAGGUUCUUGUUUUGUGCUAAAGUUUCUUCAACAACCCAAUUUAGCCUGUACCUCUUCUUUUGAAUUCUCAAUCACUUCGUUGGCUUGUGUUUUAGUUUAAGAGAUGUUCUUGUAGAAAAUAAAGUCUGUUUUGCAUUGGGUAUGGAGAGCCAAAACUGAAGCACCAUUUUAGAUGUGGGUGAAAAAAAUAGUUUGAAAAAAGCUAUUUUGAUAUGUUAGUAUUACUAAAACUUAUCGAAUUUAAUUUUAAAUUAUUUUUUAGUACUUUCUAAUGAGCAUAUUUAAGAAAGGGCUUUUCUCAACAACAAUUUUAACAGUAAUGCCAAACAAGUCCAAAGUAUGUUUUUUGUUUGCGUUGCACAUUUGAGAUGUCUAAUGUUUGAUCUUGAUGUGGGAUGUGGAUCCUGUUUAAAGAAUGGCAGAGGGAGAUGAGG
rnacentral:misc_RNA from 1 species